UCCUCUGUAGUUCAGUCGGUAGAACGGCGGACUGUUAAUCCGUAUGUCACUGGUUCGAUUCCAGUCAGAGGAGCCA
rnacentral:tRNA from 11 species